UAGACGUGGGUCUGUGCCCUUCACACGGGUGCACACACAGAGUGAGUGACAGGUAGAUGUGGGCCUGUGCCCUUCACACGGGUGCACACACAGGAGUGAGUGACAGGUAGAUGUGGGCCUGUGCCCUUCACACGGGUGCACACACAGAGUGAGUGACAGGUAGAUGUGGGCCUGUGCCCUUCACACGGGUGCACACACAGGAGUGAGUGACAGGUAGAUGUGGGCCUGUGCCCUUCACACGGGUGCACACACAGGAGUGACAGGUAGACGUGGGCCUGUGCCCUUCACACGGGUGCACACACAGAGUGAGUGACAGGUAGACGUGGGCCUGUGCCCUUCACACGGGUGCACACACAGAGUGAGUGACAGGUAGACGUGGGCCUGUGCCCUUCACACGGGUGCACACACAGAGUGAGUGACAGGUAGACGUGGGCCUGUGCCCUUCACACGGGUGCACACACAGGAGUGACAGGUAGACGUGGGCCUGUGCCCUUCACACGGGUGUACACACAGGAGUGACAGGUAGACGUGGGCCUGUGCCCUUCACAUGGGUGCAUACACAGGAGUGAUUUUUUUCAACACUGAAACCAAUAUGGAAAUGCAGACAGCUCUUGUUAACUAGGCUUUUGGUUAAUUAAGCUGGCAGAGGAGAUGGCUCUCUGGGUGAGAGAAACUGCUGAGUGAGCUUUGUUUAAGUGCUGGGGCCUUGAGUAUGUCAGACAAGGGCUGUCUCACUGAGCCCCAGCCCAGAGCUGUUGUUCCGAGCCCUGCGUGUCCUGCUUUGGAGAGCAGGCAUGCCUGAUAGAAGCCACGGUGGAGUUUAUGUGCAGCUCUGUAGUGGUGGUUUGCGGGAGCUCUGCCUUCACAGUCAUAGUUGUUUAAAACCCCCCAGUAAAGCCGGGCAUAGUGGUGUACACCCGUGACCCUAGCGCUGGGGAGGAGAAAGCCGGAGAACCCAGAGUUCAAGGUCAGCAGCCACAUAGUGAGUCUGUUGUACAAUCCUGUCACUCAGGAGGAUCAGAAGUCAGUCUCAGCUGCAUAGUAAAUGGAGGCUCGCCUGAGAUACACGCAGUGCUGUCUGGAAAAAAGAAAAGAAAAAUUCCCCAGGUACACACCUGCAAACGGAUACUGUUAGAGGCCGGGAUCCAUGUGGCUGUGUGAACGAGGAGCCAGCUGCCUGACUUGGGAUUGUAGAAAUGCACAUGCUGCUUGGCCAGGGCCAUGAGUAGUAAUCUCACGUUCAGUUGGGAACCAAGCCUGACGAAGACGACCUGCUAGCACGACAGCAGCGCAGACUCCUUCCACCUCUCAAGAGGGCUUGCUUUGUCACCCUAAAGUGCAGCCUUGGAGAGUGCGCCAUGCUUGUGUUCCCGCCUGGGCUUUGCCUCUUCACCACCCUUGGACACCAUGGGCCAGAGCACAGCGGGGCACGGCACGGCCCGGGCUGGGCUAUCGCACUGUCUGUUCCCCAGGCUCAGCUGGGUAACGGCAUGGCCCACGCUGGGCUAUCGCACUGUCUGUUCCCCAGGCUCAGCUGGGCAUGGCACGGCCCGGGCUGGGCUAUCGCACUGUCUGUUCCCCAGGCUCAGCUGGGCACGGCACAGCCCGGGCUGGGCUAUCGCACUGUCUGUUCCUCAGGCUCAGCUGGGCACGGCACGGCCCGGCCCGGGCUGGGCUAUCGCACUGUCUGUUCCCCAGGCUCAGCUGGGUAACGGCACGGCCCGGGCUGGGCUAUCACACUGUUCCCCAGGCUCAGCUGGGUAACGGCACGGCCCGGGCUGGGCUAUCGCACUGUCUGUUCCCCAGGCUCAGCUGGGUAACGGCACGGCCCGGGCUGGCCUAUCGCACUGUCUGUUCCCCAGGCUCAGCUGGGUAACGGCACGGCCCGGGCUGGGCUAUCGCACUGUCUGUUCCCCAGGCUCAGCUGGGUAACGGCACGGCCCGGGCUGGGCUAUCGCACUGUCUGUUCCCCAGGCUCAGCUGGGUAACGGCACGGCCCGGGCUGGGCUAUCGCACUGUCUGUUCCCCAGGCUCAGCUGGGUAAUGGCACGGCCCGGGCUGGCCUAUCGCACUGUCUGUUCCCCAGGCUCAGCUGCUGUGCUUUCUCCUCUGCUCAUCUAACCUGUGCCACAAAUCUAU